CUUUACUAAUAUCCUUCACAGUCUAAAGGAGUGACUGGUAGCUCAUACAGAAACAAUAAUAUUGAAUUACAACCUACUGAUCCUACUUAUGCUACUCCUACCACUGAAUAUACUCCAGCAGCUGCUUCUACUGUAAGGACACUACAAGGAGGAGAUGGACCACCUUCUUAUCCACCACCACCUCCAACUGGUCAGUACAGUGUUCUUAGAGCUAGUGAUGAUGAUGAAGUUCCUCCACCAGUACCAGCCUAUAAUCCUAAUGGAGGACAGGAAUACUCUGAACUGAGGAGAGAGGGAGAGAAGAAGAAUAAACAACAACAACAACAACGACAAGGAGCUGGUCCACUUUAUUCAACACUCAAUCAAGAUGAUGAUACUCCUCCUCCUGUCCCUCCUGCCUAUAAUCCUGAGGGAGUACAGGAAUACUCUGUAUUGAAGAGAGAGGGAGAG